rnacentral:rRNA from 1 species
UAAUACAUUACAACUUUCAGCGGUGGAUGUCUAGGUUCCCACAACGAUGAAGAACGCAGCGAAAUGCGAUACGUAAUGCGAAUUGCAAGACCUCGUGAAUCAUCAAGAUUUUGAACGCACAUUGCGCUUUCGGGUAUUCCCGGUAGCAUGCUUGUCUGAGUGUCUGUGGAUCCCACUCAGCGCUGGCUUCGCGCUGGCUGCUGGUCUUUUGGCCGUGACUGAACUUGUUUAGUCUCGGCUUAAGUUUUAC